AUCUUCGGGGUAGGGUGCAAUUCCCAACCGGCGGUGAUGUUCUUCGGAACCAGCCCGCGACUCGCUAAUUGUUCUUAACGAAGGACAUUCAGCGACUGACUUGGUGUGAAUCCAAGGCCGACGGUACAGUCCGGAUGAGAGAAGAU
rnacentral:ncRNA from 1 species